CCUACGGGGUGCAGCAGUAGGGAAUAUUGCUCAAUGGGGGAAACCCUGAAGCAGCACCGCCGCGUGGAGGAUGAAGGUUUUCGGAUUGUAAACUCCUUUUGUUAGAGAAGAUAAUGACGGUAUCUAACGAAUAAGCACCUGCUAACUCCGUGCCAGCAGCCGCGGUAAUACGGAGGGUGCAAGCGUUACUCGGAAUUACUGGGCGUAAAGGGCGUGUAGGCGGGAUAGCAAGUCAGAUGUGGAAUCCUAUGGCUUAACCAUAGAACUGCAUUUGAAACUGUUAUUCUAGAGUAUGGGAGAGGUAGGUGGAAUUCUUGGUGUAGGGGUAAAAUCCGUAGAGAUCAAGAGGAAUACUCAUUGCGAAGGCGACCUGCUAGAACAUAACUGACGCUGAUGCGCGAAAGCGUGGGGAGCAAACAGGAUUAGAUACCCGGGUAGUC
rnacentral:rRNA from 1 species